AAAGAAAGAAGAAAAGAGAGGAAGGAAGGGAAGGAAAAGAAAAGUGUUUCAAUUCAUUUUAUGAAGAUACUACAAUCUUGACACUAAAACUGGGCCUGGAUAGUACAAGAAAGGAAAAACCCAACUCAAUCAUGUUAGUUCCUAGCUCCAGCUAAUUGAAUGCUGUCAUCUAGGCCUUUGACUCUCAAGAGAGCGACAGUAAGAUAUAAGAACAGUGGAGAAGUUUUUCUGGUAGCUAUGAAAAUGAGAACAUGAUGGAAUUAGUGCUGAGUACCAAGAAGCAGUGAUGUCCGUAAUGGAGUUCUCAGCAGCGACCUAAAGAAUCAGAUUUACCCAACUUCAGUUUAAGAUAGUUGGUCCUCAUCUAGGUAUAUUCUCCCCCCACAACUGGCACAGUUGACGUACACAAGAAUACACAAGGAUGUUCAGUCUAGCAACCUUUGCAAGACUCAACUUUGUGGAACAACUUAAAGCUCAUCAUAGGGGAAAUGGAUAAACAAAUUCUGAUUUAUUUACAUGACAAAAUACUAGAUAGCCAAAAAUAUAAACUAGACUACAUGCAUCAACAUUAAUUUCUCUUGAAUUCACAUAUGGAGUCAAGAAAGUAAGCUGUAGAAUGAUACAGAAAAUAUGAUACAGUUUAAAUAAAAUGUUGAAAUACAAAACACAGUCCUAUGGCAUUUGUGGUUGUGGGCAGAUAUGAUAAAACGAAGAGUAAAAUGCAUAUCAACUGCAGCACACUGGUAACUCCCGAGGAAGAAAGAGAAUGAACAUGAAACAAAGAGGAACUCUAGUAUGAUGUUUUAUUUUUAAAAAACACAAUGAUUACUUUUCCUGGAGGUGGGCGCAUAGGGGUAUUUAUUAUAGUACACUGUGUAUCUUUGUGCAUUUUAAAUAUUCCAUAAUAAAGAAACUGCAAUUAAUAUGCAGUGUAGCCAGUAUAUGAAUCAAUGUGGUCUACAAACCAAAUGAUGAUACUGACAAACGUUUCGCCAACUUGGAAACCCUAGAAACUUCAUUUUAAAAGAUCUUCUUAUACAUAGGACAAAUCAUUUGUUUCCUUUUCCACAAAUGAAGAGGAUAUAAAAGCAUGAUUACAUUGACAUGAUUUUAAAAAUCUGAGACUACUGAAGCUAUUUUUAGCUGAAGUUAUUAUUAAUACUGAAGCGAUUAUUAGCUGAAGAGUAAAGAAUCACUCUCUCUGAAUUAACACUGUAGGCCUCUCCUUUAAAAAUGUGGGUGUUUUGACAAUGUAAUCAAGUUUAAUGUGGGUUUGAAUUUUAUUUUAAUUAGCCAGUAAGCAAGAAAAUUGUGUGUCUUGUUUGAAGACUGUUUAUGGGUAAAAUACAAUUUCAUAUUGUAUGGGUACAUUGCUAUAUAUCAUGGACAGAUGAGCUUUUAUACUCAUUAAAAAGGAAA
rnacentral:lncRNA from 1 species